AGCGAACGCUGGCGGCAGGCCUAACACAUGCAAGUCGAACGAACUCUUCGGAGUUAGUGGCGGACGUGUGAGUAACACGUGGGAACGUGCCUUUUGGUUCGGAAUAACUCAGGGAAACUUGUGCUAAUACCGAAUGUGCCCUUCGGGGGAAAGAUUUAUCGCCAUUUGAGCGGCCCGCGUCUGAUUAGCUAGUUGGUGAGGUAACGGCUCACCAAGGCGACGAUCAGUAGCUGGUCUGAGAGGAUGACCAGCCACACUGGGACUGAGACACGGCCCAGACUCCUACGGGAGGCAGCAGUGGGGAAUCUUGCGCAAGGGGCGAAAGCCUGACGCAGCCAUGCCGCGUGAAUGAUGAAGGUCUUAGGAUUGUAAAAUUCUUUCACCGGGGACGAUAAUGACGGUACCCGGAGAAGAAGCCCCGGCUAACUUCGUG
rnacentral:rRNA from 1 species